rnacentral:tRNA from 1 species
AAGAUUCUAGUUAAAUAAUAACCCUGCUUUGUCAAGGCAAAAUUGUGGGUUAAACCCCCACGUAUCUUA